CCUACGGGAGGCAGCAGUGGGGAAUCUUGCGCAAUGGGCGAAAGCCUGACGCAGCAACGCCGCGUGCGGGAAGAAGGCUUUCGGGCUGUAAACCGCCUUCAGCAGGAACGAAAAUGACGGUACCUGCAGAAGAAGGAGCGGCCAACUAUGUGCCAGCAGCCGCGGUGAUACAUAGGCUUCAAGCGUUGUCCGGAUUUAUUGGGCGUAAAGAGUUCGUAGGCGGUCGAGUAAGUCGGGUGUGAAAAUUCUGGGCUCAACCCAGAGACGCCACCCGAUACUGCUUGACUUGAGUUCGAUAGGGGAGUGGGGAAUUCCUAGUGUAGCGGUGAAAUGCGCAGAUAUUAGGAGGAACACCGGUGGCGAAGGCGCCACUCUGGAUCGAUACUGACGCUGAGGAACGAAAGCAUGGGUAGCAAACAGGAUUAGAUACCCUGGUAGUCCAUGCCGUAAACGGUGGGCACUAGGUGUGGGUUUCUAUUAACGAAAUCCGCGCCGUCGCUAACGCAUUAAGUGCCCCGCCUGGGGAGUACGGUCGCAAGACUAAAACUCAAAGGAAUUGACGGCUGAGACGNGCGAGACGACACGAGGAGAGG
rnacentral:rRNA from 1 species